GUGGUCGCUUCAGCAGCACAUACACUAAAAUUGGAACCAUGCAGAGAAGAUUCGUGUGGCCCCUGGACAAGGAUGACACGCAAAUUCGAGAAACGUUUCGUAUUUAC